rnacentral:rRNA from 1 species
AUUGAACGCUGGCGGCAUGCUUUACACAUGCAAGUCGAACGGCAGCGCGGGCUUCGGCCUGGCGGCGAGUGGCGAACGGGUGAGUAAUGCAUCGGAACGUGCCCCGUAGUGGGGGAUAGCCCGGCGAAAGCCGGAUUAAUACCGCAUACGACCUGCGGGUGAAAGCGGGGGACCGAAAGGACUCGUGCUAUUGGAGCGGCCGAUGUCGGAUUAGCUAGUUGGUGGGGUAAAGGCUUACCAAGGCGAGCAUCCGUAUCUGGUCGGAGAGGAAGACCCGCCACACUGGGACGUAGACACGGCCCAGACUCCUACGGGAGGCAGCAGUGGGGAAUUUUGGACAAUGGGGGCAACCCUGAUCCAGCCAUGCCGCGUGCGGGAAGAAGGCCUUCGGGUUGUAAACCGCUUUUGUUCGGGAAGAAAUCCUCUGGGCUAAUACCCCGGGGGGAUGACGGUACCGGAAGAAUAAGCACCGGCUAACUACGUG